GUAUAACUUAGUGGCAGACGGGUGAGUAAUGUAUAGGAAUCUUCCUAGUAGUACGGAAUAAUUGUUGGAAACGGCAACUAAUACCGUAUACGCCCUACGGGGGAAAAAUUUAUUGCUAUUAGAUGAGCCUAUAUUAGAUUAGCUAGUUGGUGGAGUAAUAGCCUACCAAGGCAAUGAUCUAUAGCUGAUCUGAGAGGAUGAUCAGCCACACUGGAACUGAGAUACGGUCCAGACUCCUACGGGAGGCAGCAGUGGGGAAUAUUGGACAAUGGGCGAAAGCCUGAUCCAGCCAUGCCGCAUGAGUGAAGAAGGCCUUUGGGUUGUAAAGCUCUUUUAGUGAGGAAGAUAAUGACGGUACUCACAGAAGAAGUCCUGGCUAACUCCGUGCCAGCAGCCGCGGUAAUACGGAGAGGGCUAGCGUUAUUCGGAAUUAUUGGGCGUAAAGGGCGCGUAGGCGGAUUAGUAAGUUAAAAGUGAAAUCCCAAGGCUCAACCUUGGAAUUGCUUUUAAAACUGCUAAUCUAGAGAUUGAAAGAGGAUAGAGGAAUUCCUAGUGUAGAGGUGAAAUUCGUAAAUAUUAGGAGGAACACCAGUGGCGAAGGCGUCUAUCUGGUUCAAAUCUGACGCUGAGGCGCGAAGGCGUGGGGAGCAAACAGGAUUAGAUACCCUGGUAGUCCACGCUGUAAACGAUGAAUGUUAAAUAUGGGAAGUUUACUUUCUGUAUUACAGCUAACGCGUUAAACAUUCCGCCUGGGGACUACGGUCGCAAGAUUAAAACUCAAAGGAAUUGACGGGGACCCGCACAAGCGGUGGAGCAUGUGGUUUAAUUCGAUGCAACGCGAAAA
rnacentral:rRNA from 1 species